UAAGCGGAGGAAAAGAAACUAACAAGGAUUCCCCUAGUAACGGCGAGUGAAGCGGGAAGAGCUCAAAUUUGAAAUCUGGUAGCCUUCGGUUGCCCGAGUUGUAAUCUAGAGAAGUGUUUUCCGUGCCGGCCCAUGUACAAGUCCCUUGGAACAGGGCGUCAUAGAGGGUGAGAAUCCCGUCCUUGACAUGGACCCCCGGUGCUUUGUGAUACACUUUCAACGAGUCGAGUUGUUUGGGAAUGCAGCUCAAAAUGGGUGGUGAAUUCCAUCUAAAGCUAAAUAUUGGCGAGAGACCGAUAGCGAACAAGUACCGUGAGGGAAAGAUGAAAAGCACUUUGGAAAGAGAGUUAAACAGUACGUGAAAUUGUUGAAAGGGAAACGAUUGAAGUCAGUCAUGCUCUUAGGAUUCAGCCGUUCUGCGGUGUAUUUCCUUUGAGUGGGGUCAACAUCAGUUUUGAUCGAUGGAUAAAGGCACGAGGAAGGUAGCACUCUCGGGUGAACUUAUAGCCUCGCGUCAUAUACAUUGAUUGGGACUGAGGAACGCAGCAUGCCUUUAUGGCCGGGAUUCGUCCACGUACAUGCUUAGGAUGUUGACAUAAUGGCUUUAAACGACCCGUCUUGAAACACG
rnacentral:rRNA from 1 species